rnacentral:lncRNA from 1 species
CUAGAAGUCAAAGAGGAUUCUGGGAAAUGUAGUAGAGAAGUGAUGAUCCAGGCAGGAAGUGACAUGGCAAGGAGACUCAUAUCUAAACGAAGAAACAGGAAGUAUUCUCUUUUCCCCUCCGCUCCUGCUCCAAUGACACCAUGUGAUCCACCGACAAGGAGGGACGCCAAUAAGAUGUCUGAUAAGAUAAGUCUUAUAAAAUAUAUAGAUCUAUGAUAAUUAAGACUGAGCUAGCAGAUGAAAAUCCUAGUCAUUGGCCAAGCAGCAUUGUACUUAAUACAAGUUUCUGUGUAAUCAUUUGAGCCUAACUUGGACAGGCGGCUGGCGUAAAGCUCACACGUGGCAGUGGGGCUCAGGUGGCUUUUGGCGGAAAGAUUUAUCAUAACAGAAUGGAAUAAGCGGGACAUGUCCUGGUCCUUUCAAUGCAUACAUGGCAUCUUAGAUGCCCUCUCUAGACUCUUUUGUCUCAGAAUGACUAGUAACUGCAUUUUUUGUGGGUGACUUUAAUCCGAGGGCCAGAUGCAGAGUAACAGCAGGGAGCAAGCAGGGCCUCCUGUGUAUUUGCACAUGUGCCCUGGUUUCAAAUACAUUGCGUACUCCUCCCUGUUGUCAUGGUGAUUCUUGAAGGAGACUGGAUCACUUGUUUUCUUUGGCUUGUCAUACUAUGAUUUGCUUGAUGGCUCCAGAGUCCUGGAAUACGCUGACAUAAGAUCUGCAGUAGACAAUGGUAGCACCUGGGGAUGGUUAUGUUCAGUGAUAAACUGGGUAUGCACCUGGCCUGAUACAUCCCCUUCUCAUGCCUCUUGGUAAAAGAGUAGUAAGUUUUCAGCCUUUGGUGGACACUGGAACCUGGGAACUGCCCGCCUCCUGGAGGAAUCCAUGGUGCACUCUCUGGCCUGCAGAAAGGAGUUGAGGCAUCUGUCCCAGCAGGAGCCCAUGGGUCUGAGCACAUCCCACUUUGAGAUGGAGAGCUCCAGAAGCAGUCUGAUGAUUGCCCCAGUCCGGGUAAUGAAGACCUUGACUCUAGGCCUACUCUUCUCCAUUUUCCUCCCUAGAUGGUCAUAUGACCCCCACUUUGAAAGAGAAUUGAAGUCAGCAGGGUUCAGGGACUCUUGACUAAGAGGUCCACAGUGCUUGCAGCUCUAUUUGUAGGAGACUCUAUGUGUUUCUGCUGUGAUUACAGUGUGUGUGCAUCUAGAGACCCUGCAGGGCUUUAGAAACCUGAGUUUGAACAUGCUAGUCCCUUGGCUCUCAGUCAGGUCUCCAGAUGGCGCCCUGUGUUGACUAAGGUUGGCCUAUAUGGACAAGAAAGAAGGUAUCAGACUCUGAUCUGUGUUUGCCAACCCUCUGAGCUGUCAUGUGCAGGAUGGGGCUCACACUGACUUCAGCAUCAGGCAUGCCUUACAUCUGGAAUCUUCUCAGUAAGAUGAACUUGAUACCACUUGUAUGUCAUUGUCUACCUAUUAGGCUGAGGCCCGUACAUAGGCCUCUUCCCACUUCCCAACUCCUUUGACUCCACUAGAACCUCCAAAUCAUCACAGCCUGAGAGUUUCCCUAGCAAGUCUCUGACUGUGUUCACCACUUAAAGGUAUAGCAGGCUCAGGUGGCCCCUACCCCAUGCCUAUGGAUAUCAGGGGUCAGAAGAAACUCUGGCACUGCGCAUGGUGCUCAUGACCUCCCAAUGGGCCACUUUUUCACAUUUGCACAUCCCAAAGAGCCUGUCUGUUUGAACCUAAUUAUUUUCAAAUGCUGUCUCCUUGUGAUAAUUCAUUUACAGGUGAGACUCUUUAAUGAAUCUGUACUCAGGAUUCUUUUCUGCAAUUGACCUGACAGAUGAGUCUUCCCUGUACCCCAACACCCCAGUGUUGCUUUGCUAGUAUAUUUAAACUUUAGUGUAAGUCCCUGAGCACCUUGACCCCCAGAUGAGACUCUCCAGUAGAAACACACUUUGAGAUGUGCCUGCCCAUUUUAUCAGUCAGGGCUGCUGUUUGUACAAAUGAAGGAUGAUGGUCAUUCUCAUCAAGACACAGAGCUGAAUACAUAUGGAGGACUGUGCUUGCAGCUCUCAGAGCAGUCCUUCAUGCAAAUGAAGGCUGCACUUGCACAAUUCACAGGC